CAGCAGCCGCGGUAAUACGUAGGUGGCAAGCGUUGUCCGGAAUGAUUGGGCGUAAAGGGCGCGCAGGCGGCUGUGUAAGUCUGUCUAGAAAGUGCGGGGCUAAACCCCGUGAGAGGAUGGAAACUGGACAGCUGAGAAUGUCGGAGAGGAAAGCGGAAUUCCUAGUGUAGCGGUGAAAUGCGUAGAUAUUAGGAGGAACACCGGUGGCGAAAGCGGCUUUCUGGACGACAACUGACGCUGAGGCGCGAAAGCCAGGGGAGCAAACGGGAUUAGAUACCCCGGUAGUCCCUGUCUCUUAUAC
rnacentral:rRNA from 1 species